rnacentral:rRNA from 1 species
AUGAGCAGACCCCAAUAUUUAUUUCUUCAAUUCUCUUCUGCCGUCAGGUCGCGGCCUCUUCCUUCUGUAGGUCACCGCCUCCUGCUUCUGCAGGCCGUGCCCCAUCCCCCGAUUCCCGCAGCAGACAUGCCGCUCACCGCCGGCACCACAGUCCGUUCACUGCCGACAACCGAGGCCAUUCAAUGGUGCAACGACGAGUUCAUCUACUUGCUAGUUGUAAGUCCAAUUACAUAUGUUUUUCCAUGUUCUUCAUACAGCAUGAGAAGAUUUGUAGAUGCACAACAGAGUUUGUAG